AUGGGCCACCACCUUGAUCCGGCGAGCAAGGCACCACCGGAAACCCUCACCAUCACCAAGGAUGGGAAGGAGGAGCAGAUCGCCAAUUUCGCCCGAGUUCUCUGGUAUGCACAGCAACAACAGGUUCAGAGUUUUCUGAUGGGUUCUCUGUCUCGCGAGAUUCUUGCACAGGUGGUUACCCUUCAGACACCGGCGGAGGUGUGGGCGGCGAUCGAAGCUAUGUUUGCUGCCCAAACCGAAGCACAGGCGAUCAAUACUCGGAUGGAACUCACAAACCUCAGGAAGGGUAACAUGUCCAUGUCAGAGUACUUAGCCAAGAUCAAGAUGCUCACGGAUGAGAUCGCCUGCACCGGAGCUGCCAUGUCCAGAGGCGAGAUCGUCUCCCAAGUUCUGGCCGGCCUCGACCUCGACUACAACCCGGUCGUGUCGGCGCUUGCUACGCGGGUUGAACCCGUGACCGUCCAGGAGCUAUACACGCAGCUUCUCAGUUUUGAUGCAUGCCUCAAUCUUCUCCAUGGGAUGAACGUGCACCAGUCUUCGGCUAACGCCGCCUCGCGUGGCCGUGGUACUGGCCGUGGGCGCGAUCAGGGAAGGAACCGCAGCAACAGCAGCGGUGGUGGCGGGCGCGGCCGCGGCAGCGGACCAGGUGCUCGAUCCGGCGGGGGCGGCUACACCAGCACCAACGCUCCUGCCCGUUCUGGAGGGGGUGGCUUCAACAACAAUCACACCUCCUCUGGACCUUCCUCAAGCAACCGUGUUCGGUGUCAAUUGUGCAAGAAACCGGGCCAUGAGGUCAUGGACUGUUGGCAUCGUUAUGAUGAAGACUACGUUCCUGACGCCCGUCAUGUCGCUGCCGCAAUCAGAGAGCAAGGAGGAGAUGGCACAGUCUGGUACGCCGAUUCAGGGGCCACUGAUCAUGUCACCAACGAGCUUGAAAAACUCUCCAUGAGGGAGAGAUACCUCGGCAAUGAUCAAAUUCACACUGCAAGCGGUGGAGGAUCGGGCAACGAGGGAGCUCAUUCAUCACGAUAG
rnacentral:rRNA from 1 species